GAGUGGCGAACUGGUGAGUAACACGGUGGGAAACCUGCCCAGAAGCGGGGGAUACACCUGGAAACAGAUGCUAAUACCGCAUAACAACUUGGACCGCAUGGUCCGAGUUUGAAAGAUGGCUUCGGCUAUCACUUUUGGAUGGUCCCGCGGCGUAUUAGCUAGAUGGUGGGGUAACGGCUCACCAUGGCAAUGAUACGUAGCCGACCUGAGAGGGUAAUCGGCCACAUUGGGACUGAGACACGGCCCAAACUCCUACGGGAGGCAGCAGUAGGGAAUCUUCCACAAUGGACGAAAGUCUGAUGGAGCAACGCCGCGUGAGUGAAGAAGGGUUUCGGCUCGUAAAACUCUGUUGUUAAAGAAGAACAUAUCUGAGAGUAACUGUUCAGGUAUUGACGGUAUUUAACCAGAAAGCCACGGCUAACUACGUGCCAGCAGCCGCGGUAAUACGUAGGUGGCAAGCGUUGUCCGGAUUUAUUGGGCGUAAAGCGAGCGCAGGCGGUUUUUUAAGUCUGAUGUGAAAGCCUUCGGCUCAACCGAAGAAGUGCAUCGGAAACUGGGAAACUUGAGUGCAGAAGAGGACAGUGGAACUCCAUGUGUAGCGGUGAAAUGCGUAGAUAUAUGGAAGAACACCAGUGGCGAAGGCGGCUGUCUGGUCUGUAACUGACGCUGAGGCUCGAAAGUAUGGGUAGCAAACAGGAUUAGAUACCCUGGUAGUCCAUACCGUAAACGAUGAAUGCUAAGUGUUGGAGGGUUUCCGCCCUUCAGUGCUGCAGCUAACGCAUUAAGCAUUCCGCCUGGGGAGUACGGCCGCAAGGCUGAAACUCAAAGGGAAUUGACGGGGGCCCGCACAAGCGGUGGAGCAUGUGGUUUAAUUCGAAGCUACGCGAAGAACCUUACCAGGUCUUGACAUACUAUGCAAAUCUAAGAGAUUAGACGUUCCCUUCGGGGACAUGGAUACAGGUGGUGCAUGGUUGUCGUCAGCUCGUGUCGUGAGAUGUUGGGUUAAGUCCCGCAACGAGCGCAACCCUUAUUAUCAGUUGCCAGCAUUAAGUUGGGCACUCUGGUGAGACUGCCGGUGACAAACCGGAGGAAGGUGGGGAUGACGUCAAAUCAUCAUGCCCCUUAUGACCUGGGCUACACACGUGCUACAAUGGAUGGUACAACGAGUUGCGAACUCGCGAGAGUAAGCUAAUCUCUUAAAGCCAUUCUCAGUUCGGAUUGUAGGCUGCAACUCGCCUACAUGAAGUCGGAAUCGCUAGUAAUCGCGGAUCAGCAUGCCGCGGUGAAUACGUUCCCGGGCCUUGUACACACCGCCCGUCACACCAUGAGAGUUUGUAACACCCAAAGUCGGUGGGGUAACCUUUUAGGAACCAGCCGCCUAAGG
rnacentral:rRNA from 1 species